rnacentral:misc_RNA from 1 species
GUGGAGCCAGAGAACCAGCCCUUGCUACCCAGACUUAAUUCACAUUCAAGAAUUCCAGACUUGUCAUCUCAGGCAAUUGAGGAAUUCUUGGAACAAAGGACAGUGCCUCUAAGAUGGUGGCCCCGCCUUGUUGCAUGGGAAUCAAGGCUCUUAUGGUUAUUAUCUUGGGCUUCUAUAAUCGUCUCCAUAUUCAAUUUCAUGCUUAGCUUUGUCACCCAAAUGUUCUCUGGACAUUUGGGUGCUGUAGAGCUUGCUGGUGCUGCCAUUGCCAAUGUUGGAAUUCAGGGUCUUGCUUAUGGGAUUAUGCUGGGCAUGGCUAGUGCUGUGCAAACAGUGUGCGGCCAAGCCUAUGGAGCUAAGCAGUACUCAGCAAUGGGCAUCAUAUGCCAGAGAGCAAUUGUGCUGCACUUGGGAGCAGCUGUGCUCCUCACAUUCCUCUACUGGUUCUCAGG